GCCAGGCGGCAGCUACACAUGCAGUCGAGCGAGAACUUCGGUUCUAGCGGCGGACGGGUUAGUAACGCGUGGGAACGUGCCCUUCACUACGGAAUAGUCCCGGGAAACUGGGUUUAAUACCGUAUACGCCCUUCGGGGGAAAGAAUUUCGGUGAAGGAUCGGCCCGCGUUAGAUUAGAUAGUUGGUGGGGUAACGGCCUACCAAGUCUACGAUCUAUAGCUGGUUUUAGAGGAUGAUCAGCAACACUGGGACUGAGACACGGCCCAGACUCCUACGGGAGGCAGCAGUGGGGAAUCUUAGACAAUGGGCGCAAGCCUGAUCUAGCCAUGCCGCGUGAGUGAUGAAGGCCUUAGGGUCGUAAAGCUCUUUCGCCAGGGAUGAUAAUGACAGUACCUGGUAAAGAAACCCCGGCUAACUCCGUGCCAGCAGCCGCGGUAAUACGGAGGGGGUUAGCGUUGUUCGGAAUUACUGGGCGUAAAGCGCGCGUAGGCGGAUUGGAAAGUUGGGGGUGAAAUCCCAGGGCUCAACCCUGGAACUGCCUCCAAAACUAUCAGUCUAGAGUUCGAGAGAGGUGAGUGGAACUCCGAGUGUAGAGGUGAAAUUCGUAGAUAUUCGGAAGAACACCAGUGGCGAAGGCGGCUCACUGGCUCGAUACUGACGCUGAGGUGCGAAAGUGUGGGGAGCAAACAGGAUUAGAUACCCUGGUAGUC
rnacentral:rRNA from 1 species